rnacentral:rRNA from 1 species
UACGUAGGGGGCUAGCGUUGUCCGGAAUCAUUGGGCGUAAAGAGCGUGUAGGCGGCCCGGUAAGUCCGCUGUAAAAGUCAAAGGCUCAACCUUUGAAUGUCAGUGGAUACUGCCGGGCUAGAGUCCGGAAGAGGCGAGUGGAACUCCUGGUGUAGCGGUGGAAUGCGCAGAUAUCGGGAGGAACACCUGUGGCGAAGGCGGGUCUCUGGGCCGAUACUGACGCUGAGGAGCGAAAGCGUGGGGAGCGAACAGG